rnacentral:rRNA from 1 species
GACGAACGCUGGCGGCGUGCUUAACACAUGCAAGUCGAACGGAAAGGCCCUGCUUUUGUGGGGUGCUCGAGUGGCGAACGGGUGAGUAACACGUGAGUAACCUGUCCUUGACUUUGGGAUAUCUUCAGGAAACUGGGGCUAAUACCGGAUAGGAGCUCCUGCUGCAUGGUGGGGGUUGGAAAGUUUCGGCGGUUGGGGAUGGACUCGCGGCUUAUCCGCUUGUUGGUGGGGUAGUGGCUUACCAAGGCUUUGAAGGGUAGCCGGCCUGCGAGGGGGACCGGCCACAUUGGGACUGAGAUACGGCCCAGACUCGUACGGGACGCAACAGUGGAGAAUAUUGCACAAUAGGCGGAAGCCAGAUGCGACAACGCCACGUGCGGGAUGACGGCCUUCGGGUUGUAAACCGAUUUCGCCUGAGACGAAGCGUGAGUGACGGUAAUGGGUAAAGAAGCACCGGCUAACUACGUG